AGCAGAAUGGCUUAGUGGGUAGAGCACAGGCCUAAGAUUCAGAAAGAUCUGGGUUCUAAUCCCAGUCCCGCCA
rnacentral:tRNA from 1 species